GACGAACGCUGGCGGCGCGCUUAACACAUGCAAGUCGAACGGAAAGGCCUGCUUUCCCUUGUGGAUUGCGGGUACUCGAGUGGCGAACGGGUGAGUAACACGUGAGUGAUCUGCCCCCAACUUGGGUAUAAGCCUGGGAAACUGGGUCUAAUUCCCGAUAGGACUGCAGGGUGGUGCCUGUGGUGGAAAACGAUUUUCUAGUGGUUGGGGAUGAGCUCGCGGUCUAUCAGCUUGUUGGUGGGGUAAUGGCCUACCAAGGCGGCGACGGGUAGCCGGCCUGAGAGGGUGGACGGCCACAUUGGGACUGAGAUACGGCCCAGACUCCUACGGGAGGCAGCAGUGGGGAAUAUUGCACAAUGGGCGGAAGCCUGAUGCAGCGACGCCGCGUGGGGGAUGACGGCCUUCGGGUUGUAAACUCCUUUCGACCGCGAGGAAGCCACCUGGUUGGAAGGGUGGUGACGGUAGUGGUAGAAGAAGCACCGGCUAACUACGUG
rnacentral:rRNA from 1 species